GAAACGACCGCUAAUACCGCAUGUCGUUGCAAGGUCUUCGGACUUUGCAAAAAAAGGCGCUUCGGCGUCACCAGAAGAUGAGUCCGCCCCCCAUUAGCUAGUUGGUGUGAUAAUAGCGCACCAAGGCUUCGAUGGGUAGCCGAGCUGAGAGGUUGAUCGGCCACACUGGAACUGAGACACGGUCCAGACACCUACGGGUGGCAGCAGUAGGGAAUAUUGCGCAAUGGGCGAAAGCCUGACGCAGCCAUGCCGCGUGAGUGAAGAAGGUUUUCGGAUUGUAAAACUCUUUUCUUAGGGAAGAAACCCGCGAGGAGGUAAUGCCUUGCGAUUGACGGUACCUAAGGAAUAAGGGACGGCUAACUCCGUGCCAGCAGCCGCGGUAAUACGGAGGUCCCAAGCGUUGUUCGGAUUUACUGGGCGUAAAGGGAGCGCAGGCGGAUAGAUCAGUUUAAAGUGGAAGCCCGGGGCUUAACCCCGGAAGGCCUUUGAAUACUGUCUAUCUUGAGUAUGUGAUGGGAAUGCGGAAUUCAAGGUGUAGCGGUGAAAUGCUUAGAUAUCUUGAGGAACACCAAUGGCGAAAGCAGCAU
rnacentral:rRNA from 1 species